CACCGUCAAAUCGUGACCCGUGUUGCCGU
rnacentral:sRNA from 1 species